rnacentral:rRNA from 1 species
UAAGGAAUAUUGGUCAAUGGACGCAAGUCUGAACCAGCCAUGCCGCGUGAAGGAUUAAGGUCCUCUGGAUUGUAAACUUCUUUUAUCUGGGACGAAAAAAGGCGAUUCUUCGUCACUUGACGGUACCAGAUGAAUAAGCGCCGGCUAACUCCGUGCCAGCAGCCGCGGUAAUACGGAGGGUGCAAGCGUUAUCCGGAUUCACUGGGUUUAAAGGGUGCGUAGGCGGGCAGGUAAGUCAGUGGUGAAAUCCUAGAGCUUAACUCUAGAACUGCCAUUGAUACUAUCUGUCUUGAAUAUUGUGGAGGUAAGCGGAAUAUGUCAUGUAGCGGUGAAAUGCUUAGAUAUGACAUAGAACACCUAUUGCGAAGGCAGCUUACUACGCAUAUAUUGACGCUGAGGCACGAAAGCGUGGGGAUCAAACAGGAUUAGAUACCCUGGUAGUCCACGCCCUAAACGAUGAUUACUCGACAUUUGUGAUACACUAUAAGUGUCUGAGCGAAAGCAUUAAGUAAUCCACCUGGGAAGUACGACCGCAAGGUUGAAACUCAAAUGAAUUGACGGGGUCAUAGCUGUUUCCUG